rnacentral:rRNA from 1 species
AGAGCGAACGCUGGCGGCAGGCUUAACACAUGCAAGUCGAGCGCCCCGCAAGGGGAGCGGCAGACGGGAGAGUAACACGUGGGAACGUACCUUUCGGUUCGGAACAACCCAGGGAAACUUGGGCUAAUACCGGAUACGUCCGUAAGGAGAAAGAUUUAUCGCCGAAAGAUCGGCCCGCGUCUGAUUAGCUAGUUGGUGAGGUAACGGCUCACCAAGGCGACGAUCAGUAGCUGGUCUGAGAGGAUGAUCAGCCUCACUGGGACUGAGACACGGCCCAGACUCCUACGGGAGGCAGCAGUGGGGAAUAUUGGACAAUGGGCGCAAGCCUGAUCCAGCCAUGCCGCGUGGGUGAUGAAGGCCCUAGGGUUGUAAAGCCCGUUUCGGCGGGGAAGAUAAUGACGGUACCCGCAGAAGAAGCCCCGGCUAACUUCGCGCCAGCAGCCGC